CAGGGCACUGUGGGUAGACCCUUUCCUGAGAGGGCUGUUUCGGAACUCCAGGAUUUCCAUAUCAAGGGGUGAUACACCCUUUGUUCCUUUGUCAUCCUGGACUCUUCCUGACCACCACCCCAUCUGCUUGAUGACCAAGCCUGUGAUCCCACUACCUGACAACGCUGUGACUGUGUGCUCGUCUCCACCUCAGCUUUCUUACCUUAGCUCAAGCCUAUCUUUAAUCUCAUCUCUAUGCUGCUGUCAGAAUAAACUUUCUGGGAUGUA